UAGUGAUUCCUACGGGAGGCAGCAGUAAGGAAUAUUGCGCAAUGGAGGAAACUCUGACGCAGCAACGCCGCGUGCAGGAUGAAGGCCCUUUGGGUCGUAAACUGCUGUAGCAGGGGAAUAAGACCACCUGACGGGUGGGUGAAGGUACCCUGAAAGUAAGCGCCGGCUAACUACGUG
rnacentral:rRNA from 1 species